UACGAAGGGGGCUAGCGUUGCUCGGAAUCACUGGGCGUAAAGCGCACGUAGGCGGAUUGUUAAGUCAGGGGUGAAAUCCUGGAGCUCAACUCCAGAACUGCCUUUGAUACUGGAGAGCUAGAGUCCGGAAGAGGUGAGUGGAACUGCGAGUGUAGAGGUGAAAUCCGUAGAUAUUCGCAAGAACACCAGUGGCGAAGGCGGCUCACUGGUCCGGUACUGACGCUGAGGUGCGAAAGCGUGGGGAGCAAACAGG
rnacentral:rRNA from 1 species